rnacentral:rRNA from 1 species
CAAUAGCGUAUAUUAAAGUUGUUGCGGUUAAAAGCUCGUAGUUGGAUUUCUGUUGAGGUCGACCGGUGUACACUUCGUGUAUUAUCAGGUUCGGUCUCGGCAUCCUCCAGGGGAACGUUUCUGGACUUUAUUGGACAGGGCGAGAUUCUGGACUUUUACUUUGAGGAAAUUAGAGUGUUCACAGCAGGCAAGUGCUUUGAAUACAUUAGCAUGGAAUAAUAAUAUAGGACCUUCGUUCUAUUUUGUUGGUUUCUAGAACUUAGGUAAUGAUUAAUAGGGACAAUUGGGGCGAUUCGUAUUAACGCGUCAGAGGUGGGAAUUCUUGGAUUGCGUUACGACGAACUAACUGCGAAAGCAUUUGCCAAAGAAUGUUUUCAUUGAUCAAGAACGAAAGUAAUGGGGAUCGAAGACGAUCAGAUACCAU